GGGCACUUGGCGCAGUGGUAGCGCGUUCGCUUUGCAUUCUCAUCUGCGUGCGAAAGGACGGGAGUUCGAUCCUCUCAGUGUCCA